rnacentral:rRNA from 1 species
UACGAAGGGGGCUAGCGUUGCUCGGAAUGACUGGGCGUAAAGGGCGCGUAGGCGGAAUGCUUUGUCGGGCGUGAAAUUCCAGGGCUCAACCUUGGGGCUGCGUUCGAGACGGGUAUUCUAGAGUGGGGAAGAGGGUCGUGGAAUUCCCAGUGUAGAGGUGAAAUUCGUAGAUAUUGGGAAGAACACCGGUGGCGAAGGCGG